AUGCAAGUCGAACGAGGCCCUCUUCCUUCGGGAGGAGGUGUCCUAGUGGCGAACGGGUGAGUAACACGUUGGUGACCUACCCCGAAGAGGGGGACAACCCCGGGAAACUGGGGCUAAUACCCCAUGUGAUCCUAAGGAUUAGAUGCCUAAGGAUGAAAUGGAGCAAUUCGCUUCGGGAGGGGCCUGCGGCCUAUCAGCUAGUUGGUGAGGUAAUGGCUCACCAAGGCGACGACGGGUAGGGGACCUGAGAGGGUGACCCCCCACACUGGAACUGAAACACGGACCAGACACCUACGGGUGGCAGCAGUAGGGAAUAUUGCACAAUAGGCGAAAGCCUGAUGCAGCAACGCCGCGUGCGCGAUGAAGGCCUUAGGGUUGUAAAGCGCUUUUCUGGGGGAAGAGAAAGGACGGUACCCCAGGAAUAAGUCUCGGCUAACUACGUGCCAGCAGCCGCGGUAAAACGUAGGAGGCGAGCGUUAUCCGGAUUUACUGGGCGUAAAGCGCGUGCAGGCGGUUUGGUAAGUCGGACGUGAAAGCUCCCGGCUCAACUGGGAGAGGCCGUUCGAAACUACCAGGACUAGAGGGCAGCAGAGGGAGGUGGAAUUCCAGGUGUAGCGGUGAAAUGCGUAGAUAUCUGGAGGAACACCAGUGGCGAAGGCGGCCUCCUGGACUGUCCCUGACGCUAAGACGCGAAAGCUAGGGGAGCGAACGGGAUUAGAAACCCCGGUAGUCCUAGCCGUAAACGAUGCACACUUGGUGUUGGUGGCGUAAAAACCUUCAGUGCCGCAGCUAACGCGAU
rnacentral:rRNA from 1 species